CCGAGUUUGAAAGAUGGCUUCGGCUAUCACUUUUGGAUGGUCCCGCGGCGUAUUAGCUAGAUGGUGGGGUAACGGCUCACCAUGGCAAUGAUACGUAGCCGACCUGAGAGGGUAAUCGGCCACAUUGGGACUGAGACACGGCCCAAACUCCUACGGGAGGCAGCAGUAGGGAAUCUUCCACAAUGGACGAAAGUCUGAUGGAGCAACGCCGCGUGAGUGAAGAAGGGUUUCGGCUCGUAAAACUCUGUUGUUAAAGAAGAACAUAUCUGAGAGUAACUGUUCAGGUAUUGACGGUAUUUAACCAGAAAGCCACGGCUAACUACGUGCCAGCAGCCGCGGUAAUACGUAGGUGGCAAGCGUUGUCCGGAUUUAUUGGGCGUAAAGCGAGCG
rnacentral:rRNA from 1 species